rnacentral:lncRNA from 1 species
CCGAUGAAGCCUUCUUCUCCUCCGGGCUAAUCGGAGUUGAACAGGAGAAGGCGAGGGGGCUCUCGAGCGGCCUGUUGUUGGAGCGGCGCAGAGGAGAGAGCAUUUGGCUCUCUGUUUUCUUUUAUGUUUCUUUUAUUUUUUCUUUUUUUCUUUUUUGUUUAAAAAAUGGCAUGGAGGCUAUCAGAUUAGGGUUUUAUUUUAGGCCCUUAUCUGAUUUAUGAAACGACGCCGUUUGGAGUCUGAUCAGUGGCUCCAAAACUGCGCCAUAUUUUCCCUGUAACCAGCGUGUUUUGGUAGGGAGGACUAUUUGCGCGUCAGGUCCUCCACUUUUUCGUUUGGGUUCAAUCUAGUCUCUAUCGUUCUUUUAAAUUGGGCCGCCUAUUUUCCUGCGAUUUUUAUUUUGGUCCAGCUUGCAACUCCGCGUUUUGGAGGGUGGGGAAUAUUCCCCUUUUGGUCCCCCAUGUUAUGCGCGUUCCGCGAUUUGGACCCCUUAUUUAUUUAUUUUAGAUUUUUACCCUACAUUAUGGCUUUUUUGACAAUUUCGUCCUCUGUUUAUUAUUAUUGCUAAAAAUCAUUUUAUUUGUUGUUU